rnacentral:rRNA from 1 species
UUCCUACGGGGCGCAGCAGUGAGGAAUAUUGGUCAAUGGGCGGAAGCCUGAACCAGCCAAGUCGCGUGAGGGAAUAAGGCCCUACGGGUCGUAAACCUCUUUUGCCGGGGAGCAAGGGCGGGGACGUGUCCCGGCCCGGAGAGUACCCGGAGAAAAAGCAUCGGCUAACUCCGUGCCAGCAGCCGCGGUAAUACGGAGGAUGCGAGCGUUAUCCGGAUUUAUUGGGUUUAAAGGGUGCGCAGGCGGAAGAUCAAGUCAGCGGUAAAAUUGAGAGGCUCAACCUCUUCGAGCCGUUGAAACUGGUU